rnacentral:snRNA from 1 species
AGCUUUGCACAGUGGCAGUAUCAUAGCCAAUGAGGUUUUUCUGAGGUGCGAUCAUUGCUAAUUGUAAAAAAAGAACA